UCCGACACCAACAGGACAACAUCAACGG
rnacentral:piRNA from 1 species